GUCCACGGUGGUGCCCGUGGGCUUCACAUCCGGAGGGCUCC
rnacentral:tRNA from 14 species